GAUGAACGCUAGCUACAGGCUUAACACAUGCAAGUCGAGGGGUAGCAGGGUAGCAACACCGCUGACGACCGGCGCACGGGUGAGUAACACGUAUCCAACCUUCCCAUAACUCGGGGAUAGCCUUUCGAAAGAAAGAUUAAUACCCGAUAGUACUUAACAAAGGCAUCUUUGAUAAGUUAAAGAUUUAUUGGUUAUGGAUGGGGAUGCGUUCCAUUAGAUAGUUGGUGAGGUAACGGCUCACCAAGUCUUCGAUGGAUAGGGGUUCUGAGAGGAAGGUCCCCCACAUUGGUACUGAGACACGGACCAAACUCCUACGGGAGGCAGCAGUGAGGAAUAUUGGUCAAUGGGCGAGAGCCUGAACCAGCCAAGUAGCGUGAAGGAUGAAGGUCCUAUGGAUUGUAAACUUCUUUUAUAGUAGAAUAAAGUGAUCCACGUGUGGAUUUUUGUAUGUAUACUAUGAAUAAGGAUCGGCUAACUCCGUGCCAGCCGCCGCCGUAA
rnacentral:rRNA from 1 species